rnacentral:lncRNA from 12 species
CAGGAAUCUCUGGCCUCCUCAGGACACACUGUGAAGUUUUGGGAAGAUUUGGAGCCCUGUCAAUGCUGACAGGAGCCCCCAGCCUCCUCAGGUCUUAUGGUGAGGCUUGAGGAAAAUGUGGGGCCACGUCAACACUGACAGGACCCCUGUCCUCCUCAGGACCUGCACUUUGGCUUCGGGAAAUGUGGGGCUGGGUCUAUGCUGACAGGAGCCCACAGCUUCAUGAGGACCCACAGUGAGUUUUCUGGGGGAUGUGAGGCCAUGUCUAGGCUGACAGGAGCCCCCGGCCUCCUGAGGACUUGCUGUGAGGCUUCCAGAGGAUGUGAAGCAUAGUCCACAGUGACAGGAGAUCCGGCAUCCUCUGGACCCACUGACUAUGACACAGGAACACUUGGGGCCAUGUCCACACUCACAGGAGCCUGGCUUCCUCAGGACCCCCUGGAGGACUCUGGAGGCGCCAUUGGGGGCCACGUCCAUAUCAGAACGGACUCCUCUGAACCACAGGGACCCACUGUGAAGUUUUUGGAAGAUUUGGGGCCACGUCAAUCCUGACAGGACCUGGACUUUGGCUUCUGGAAAUAUGGGGCUGCGUCUAUGCUGACAGGAGCCCACAGCCUCCUCAGGAUGCGCCGUGAGUUUUCUGGGGGAUGUGGGGCCAUGUCCAGGCUGACAGGAGCCCCGGGCUACCUGAGGACCUGCUUGAGGCUUCCAGAGGAUGUGAGGCAUAGUCCACAGUGACAGGAGACCCAGCAUCCUCAGGACCCGCUGACUAUGACUCAGGAACACGUGGGGCCACGUCCGCACUCACAGGAGCCCGGCUUCCUCAGGACCCCCUGGAGGACUCUGGAGGCGCCGUUGGGGGCCACGUCCACAUCAGAAGGGACUACUCAGAACCACAGGGUAAGUGAAUGGGUAGAAUGAAUGAUAGGAUCAGGGGAGGGGAGUCAGUUGGUGGUUAGGCU